UUCUUGCUGCUGCAGCUGCAGCAGCAGCUGCUGCAGCAGCUGUUGCAUAAGCUGCUGCUGUUCCUGCUGCAGCAGCUGCUGCUGUUCGUGCAGCAGCAGCGGCUGCUGUUCUUGCUGCAGCAGCAGCCGCUGCUGCUGCUGCAUGCUUAACAGCAGCAACUAUUGAACCUGAAGCUAGUGCAGCAGCAGCAGCAGCUGCUGCUGCUGCUGCUGUUGCUGCUGCUGCUGUUGCUGCUGUUGCUGCUGCUGUUGCUGCUGCAGCAUAUCCUC
rnacentral:sRNA from 1 species